GCCGGGGUGGCGGAACUGGUAUACGCGCUAGCCUUAGGAGCUAGUUCUCGCAAGAGAUUGGAGGUUCGAGUCCUCUCCCCGGCA
rnacentral:tRNA from 1 species